AUGGCCAUCUCACAUUGAAACAAUAGUUCCUGUAUGAUCACUGAAGUUAAGCAACAUUGAGCCUGGUCAGUACAUAAAUGGGUGACCAAUUGGGAAGACCAGGUGCUGUAAG